UCCUACGGGACGCAGCAGUGGGGAAUAUUGCACAAUGGGGGAAACCCUGAUGCAGCAACGCCGCGUGAGUGAAGAAGUAUUUCGGUAUGUAAAGCUCUAUCAGCAGGGAAGAAGAUGACGGUACCUGAAUAAGAAGCCCCGGCUAACUACGUGCCAGCAGCCGCGGUAAUACGUAGGGGGCAAGCGUUAUCCGGAUUUACUGGGUGUAAAGGGAGCGCAGACGGCAGUGCAAGUCUGGAGUGAAAGCCCGG
rnacentral:rRNA from 1 species